UUUCAAGCGCAAAUGUUACAUGCUAGUUUUAUACUAAUGAUUACCCAUUUCUCUGUAGAUCUCUGCAGAUCUUGCUGUUGCCAGUAAGAAAGUCUAACAUCAUUCUUUCACUUGUAAGAGAAUCUGGUAAUUCGAGCAUCAGCUACUGCUCUGCAAAUUCUGUCUACCUUGAAGAGCUCUGUGAAAAUAUAAUCUGAUGGCUCAGGAUGCUGUACGAUUUUUCCUCGCUUCCACUCUCCUCCGCUCUCUAGUGGCUACUAACACACGCGCUGCUUAAAUGAUAACUGUAAAUGAGAGAACACUGCGUUCCCUGCAAACCUGAAGACUUCUCUGCCAUUGUUUUAUGGGCAAAUAUGUGUACAUGAUGCAAAGAAAGGAGAGGAAUGGGAGGCAAACGGAGCAGCUGUGCAGCGCCCCAACGCGUGACUGGGAUUUACCGUCUGGGCAGCGGUGCUGGGCUGCCAAGGGUUUCCGCCAGCGCUUCAUCUCCCACCUGCCUGCUGUGAGGUGCCCUCGCAGGACCUCCUCGCACUGUUCCACCCACAGGAUGAGGCGUAGAGGAGGCUUCUUAAAGAACAGCGUUUGAAAACACAUGCUUUCAGGCACUAACAUGUUUCUGGAUAACAAGUUUCUUUUAAAAGGAGUGUUGAAGUACGUGGAAACAUUUGAUUAGCUGAAGUUGUGCAAUGCUGCCUCUCCGCAAACAGUGAGAUACAAAACUUGGAGAAACUCUUCACUGCUGAAAAUGGUCAUGUCAUUUCCAGGGUGGAUGUACUGGAAAGAAAGAUUUGGUUUAAAUCAAGUCUAAAAUACAGCAACUGCCAACUCUCAGUUUUAAAUAGACUUUUUAAUUUUUUUUUCCUGUUCUGCUGACCUUUUCCAGUGUAAUUCCAUUCUGUUCAGUCUCUGGGUUUUUACAUUUACAUAAAAUCUUCCAACAGUAAAUUAAGUUACAUGGCUAAAA